GGGGGUGACAUGGUUUCGACGGGAGUAGUUGAGAUAAGGGUUGCAUGCCGAGGAUUCCGCAGGCCUCGUUAAAUGGGCGGAAAACAAUUUAAUUGCCGAUAACCAAUUGGCUUUAGCCGCUUAAGCGGCUCGUUCCGCUAAUUUGUUGCCUAUCAAAUUAGCCUGAGCGUAAAAAUUAUAGGCUGUGCUGGCUUGAGAUGUUCGGGGGCGAGUCAGCCAGAUAAACCUGAACUAGCUGGCCUUAAAUCCUGCAUCAGGGAGUUAUUAACAGCGAACAAGGAUGAAGAAUCCAAGAAAGCUGAUGACAAGCAUGUAGUAGCCUCUAUUGAGAUGCUUUCGGACGCGGGUUCGAUUCCCGCCACCUCCACCA
rnacentral:tmRNA from 1 species